UAUCUCAUGAAGAUUGUUGGU
rnacentral:miRNA from 1 species